UACGUAGGGGGCAAGCGUUGCCCGGAAUUAUUGGGCGUAAAGAGCUCGUAGGCGGUCUGUUACGUCCGCUGUGAAAACCCAGGGCUUAACCCUGGGCUUGCAGUGGAUACGGGUAGACUAGAGGCAGGUAGGGGAGAAUGGAAUUCCCGGUGUAGCGGUGAAAUGCGCAGAUAUCGGGAGGAACACCGGUGGCGAAGGCGGUUCUCUGGGACGGUACUGACGCUGAGACGCGAAAGCGUGGGGAGCGAACAGG
rnacentral:rRNA from 1 species